ACAACAUUCGGGUUGUCGGUCUACUGAGCAAUUGCAUCCGCUCGGUAGAAAAUCUUCUCUUUGACGC
rnacentral:pre_miRNA from 1 species